UACGUAGGUGACCAGCGUUGUCCGGAUUUACUGGGCGUAAAGAGCGCGCAGGCGGUCGUUCAAGUCGAGUGUGAAAGCCCCCGGCUCAACUGGGGAGGGUCACUCGAUACUGAUCGACUUGAAGGCAGGAGAGGGAAGCGGAAUUCCCGGUGUAGUGGUGAAAUGCGUAGAUAUCGGGAGGAACACCAGAGGCGAAGGCGGCCGGCUGGGCUGUACCUGACGCUGAGGCGCGAAAGCGUGGGGAGCGAACCGG
rnacentral:rRNA from 1 species